rnacentral:rRNA from 1 species
UGGGGAAUCUUGGACAAUGGGGGCAACCCUGAUCCAGCCAUGCCGCGUGAGUGAUGAAGGCCUUAGGGUCGUAAAGCUCUUUCGCCUGUGAAGAUAAUGACGGUAGCAGGUAAAGAAACCCCGGCUAACUCCGUGCCAGCAGCCGCGGUAAUACGGAGGGGGUUAGCGUUGUUCGGAAUUACUGGGCGUAAAGCGCACGUAGGCGGACCAGAAAGUUGGGGGUGAAAUCCCGGGGGCUCAACCCCGGAACUGCCUCCAAAACUAUUGGUCUAGAGUUCGAGAGAGGUGAGUGGAAUUCCAAGUGUAGAGGUGAAAUUCGUAGAUAUUUGGAGGAACACCAGUGGCGAAGGCGGCUCACUGGCUCGAUACUGACGCUGAGGUGCGAAAGUGUGGGGAGCAAAACAGGAUUAGAUACCCUGGUAGUCCACACCGUAAAACGAUGAAUGCCAGUCGUCGGGUAGCAUGCUAUUCGGUGACACACCUAACGGAUUAAGCAUUCCGCCUGGGGAGUACGUCGCAAGAUUAAAA